GAUGAACGCUAGCGGCAGGCUUAACACAUGCAAGUCGAGGGGCAGCACGGGUAGCAAUACCUGGUGGCGACCGGCGGAAGGGUGCGUAACGCGUGAGCAACAUGCCCUAUACAGGGGAAUAAACCAGGGAAACUUGGUCUAAUGCCCCAUAGCAAUAAGAUAAGGCAUCUUAUUUUAUUUAAAGCUUCGGUGGUAUAGGAUUGGCUCGCGUGACAUUAGCUGGAUGGUGGGGUAACGGCCCACCAUGGCGAUGAUGUCUAGGGGUUCUGAGAGGAAGGCCCCCCACACUGGGACUGAGACACGGCCCAGACUCCUACGGGAGGCAGCAGUGAGGAAUAUUGGACAAUGGAUGGAAAUCUGAUCCAGCCAUGCCGCGUGCAGGAAGACGGCCCUAUGGGUUGUAAACUGCUUUUCUACGUGAGCAAUAAGGUCUACGAGUAGACUGAUGAGAGUAGCGUAGGAAUAAGCAUCGGCUAACUCCGUGCCAGCAGCCGCGGUAAUACGGAGGAUGCGAGCGUUAUCCGGAUUUAUUGGGUUUAAAGGGUGCGUAGGCGGCUUUUUAAGUCAGCGGUGAAAUUUUGCAGCUUAACUGUAACAGUGCCGUUGAUACUGAGGAGCUAGGAUUUGGUUGCUGUGGGUGGAAUGUGUGGUGUAGCGGUGAAAUGCUUAGAGAUCACACAGAAUAUCGAUUGCGAAGGCAGCUCACAAAGCCAAGAUUGACGCUGAGGCACGAAAGUGUGGGGAUCAAACAGGAUUAGAUACCCUGGUAGUCCACACUGUAAACGAUGAUAACUCGCUGUCGGCGAUACACAGUCGGUGGCCAAGCGAAAGCGAUAAGUUAUCCACCUGGGGAGUACGACCGCAAGGUUGAAACUCAAAGGAAUUGACGGGGCCCGCACAAGCGGAGGAACAUGUGGUUUAAUUCGAUGAUACGCGAGGAACCUUACCCG
rnacentral:rRNA from 1 species